rnacentral:lncRNA from 1 species
GGGGUUGCGCCUGGACCCGCAUAAUUCCGUAAUCAUUUUUCAGACACUGCUGUCGACGUCCAGCGUGUAUGACCAGGUUGUUAAAGACUGGGCGAUUUUUGUUCAUACAAACUGGAUUUCUGCGAGGUUCAAUUUAACCCCGUGCGGCUCGUCACGUUUCUUUUACCGAAAAAAAGUACCUUUCUGGAGAGCCUGCCGUCAGCUGGGUACUGCUCUCUAUUUCGAGACCGAAAAGGUCAAGUGGGUGGCUCAGCAAUGUGUGACACUACAAAAACUGCAGCAGAAAUCUCUCAUUGCACCUGUAAAUGUACACUUGCUAGAAAAUAACCCUGGACAAGAAUGUUACUUCUAA